UACGUAGGUGGCAAGCGUUGUCCGGAUUUACUGGGCGUAAAGAGCGCGCAGGCGGUCGUUCAAGUCGCGUGUGAAAGCCCCCGGCUCAACUGGGGAGGGUCACGCGAUACUGAUCGACUCGAAGGCAGGAGAGGGAAGUGGAAUUUCCGGUGUAGUGGUGAAAUGCGUAGAUAUCGAGAGGAACACCUGCGGCGAAGGCGGGUAGCUGGGCCGACACUGACGCUGAGGCGCGAAAGCCAGGGGAGCGAACGGG
rnacentral:rRNA from 1 species